GAUUCCCUUAGUAACGGCGAGCGAACAGGGAACAGUCCAGCGCCAAGUCUUGACACUUUGGUGCUCAAGAGAUGCGGCGUUAAUGUGUUGGCGCGUCGUGCAUUGCUUGGCGUUUCAAGUUCCUUUGACAGGGACACCCAAAGUGGGUGCUAGGCCCAUAGAAGCGCAGAGCCGAUGCAUGCAGGCCGAUGCAUUCUAGAGUCAGGUUGCUUGAGAGUGCAGCUUAAAGUCGGUGGUAAACUCCAUCCAAGACUAAAUAUGACAGCGAGACCGAUAGCAAACAAGUACCGUGAGGGAAAGUUGCAAAGCACUUUGAAGAGAGAGUUCAACAGUACGUGAAACCACUGGGAGGAAAGCAGAUAGAACCACGAAGUUUGCGCUUCUGGCGAUUCAAUCAUUGCUGACCGGUAAUGGCGCCAGUCAGGGGAUCUUCACGGAGAUCARGCUGGUGGUGUUGAGCCGGGCGGCAUUGGUGCAUUUCGUACAGAAGAUGCUAAGCCACGUUCGGUCAGAGGGCUGGGACAGCCGUAGGAAAGGAACCGAGAAAGGUGACCGUCAAACGCUUGCGUGUGGCGGUGUUAUAGGCUCGGUUUGGCACUGUCGCCAGCGAACUGGUCGAUAGAAUUGCUCCCCGAAUUGGAGUUUUGUGAACCGUGCUUGCCAUGAUCCAUUAGUGAACAUUUGGGGACGUCGUUUGCGUGCCUCCGGGUGCGGAAAGCCGUCAGCAAAGUUGUUAGCUCGAUUGGAUCACGUUGCAUGGUGCGGUGUUAAACUGUGGCGCGAGUAGGUCGGUGUCUAUCUGACCCGUCUUGAAACACGGACCAAGGAGCCUAUCAUAUACGCGAGUCGCUCGGUCUUGUUCAGGCCUGGGAGGCAAAAUGAAAGUGAAACUACGAUGCUCUAGGGCAGCAGUAGUGGCCCGCUUACUUCGUUUGUUUGGCGAUCAGGCGGAGCUGGAGCGUAUACGAUGGUACCCGAAAGAUGGUGAACUAUGCCUGGGCAAGACGAAGCCAGAGGAAACUCUGGUGGAGGUCUGUAGCGAUUCUGACGUGCAAAUCGAUCGUCAGACCUGGGUAUAGGGGCGAAAGACUAAUCGAACCAUCUAGUAGCUGGUUCCCUCCGAAGUUUCCCUCAGGAUAGCAGGCGUUCAUGGAACUUUUAGUAAAAGCAGUCUCAUCCGGUAAAGCUAAUGAUUAGAGGCCUUGGGGUUGAAACGACCUCAACCUAUUCUCAAACUUUAAAUGGGUGAGAUGGUUGACUUGCUUGAGAAAGAGAAAAACUUUGAAGCCAACCAAUUGGAUGCGAAUGCCUAGUGGGCCAUUUUUGGUAAGCAGAACUGGCGCUGUGGGAUGAACCAAACGUCGAGAUAAGGCAUCAAAUGCAUACGCUCAUCAGACCCCAUAAAAGGUGUUGGUUGCUAUAGACAGCAGGACGGUGGCCAUGGAAGUCGGAAUCC
rnacentral:rRNA from 1 species